rnacentral:misc_RNA from 1 species
UCAAAAGCCACGUUGUUGUGAUCUCACAAAAACUCUCCUUUCCAACAUGUAUAUAUUUUUUUUUAGUAAUGACUAAUGAGUAGUCACUGAGAGCAAGUGUUCUCUGUUUUCCACCUUCACUGAUGCUACCUUCCAUCUGUAAUGGCCACCACCCAUCCCCACCGCCACCUCCACCUCCCCUCUUCUUACCCACUUCCACCAUAUUUACCAUACUACCCUUCUCUUCUCUCCUCCCCCACCAAACCUAGGUCUUGCAAGAUCCUCUGUUGCCUAUCAAUAAAGCAUUCGAAUGACAGCCAAAUUGCCACCAGCAACACCCACAACCACAAGCAACAAACCAGCAAUCUCCGGGUGGUGUUCGCGGCUGGUGAGACUGGUGGACAUAUAAUUCCUGCUGUGGCCAUAGCUGAUGAGCUCAAAAUCGCAAACCCCAACACCGAAUUCCUCUUUAUAGGAACCCCAAACAGCAUGGAAAGCGCUUCCAUCCCUUCCGCCGGAUAUCCCUUCUCUUCCAUCCCACCUGUAAGGUUGUAUCGCCCACUCUUCUCCCCUCGAAAUCUUUCCCUUCCCUUCCAUUUGAUUCAAUCAACCAUCCAUAGCUUCAAGCUUCUUCGAGAUUUCAAUCCUCAUAUAGUUGUAGGCACGGGGGGCUAUGUUUCUUUCCCUACUUGCCUUGCUGCUUUGUUUAGAGGACUCAAGGUUGUGAUCCAAGAACAGAAUUCUGUUCCGGGCAUUGCCAACUAUCUGCUUUCCUUUUUGGCUGAGGUUGUUUUUGUGGCUUAUAAUUCCACUGUUGAGUGUUUUCCCAGGAAGCAUAAGUGUAUGGUCUGUGGGAAUCCUGUAAGAUUAUCGUUGAGGCAAUUUGUCUCAAAGGCAGUGGCUAGGAAGGAAUUCUUUCCGAGGGCUGGAGGGAAGGAAGAGGCUAAGGUUAUUUUGGUGCUUGGAGGGUCUUUUGGGGCCAACACUAUUAAUAUUGCAUUGUUGAACUUGUACAGCCAAAUGUUGCUUGAACAUAAGAAUUGGUUUAUUAUAUGGCAAACGGGGGUUGAGGCUUAUAAUGAAAUGGAAAGCCUUGUUAGGAUCCAUCCACAUUUAUUUUUGACACCGUUCUUGCAUUCAAUGGAUUUGGCGUAUGCUGCUGCAGACCUUGUUGUCUCUAGGGCAGGUGCAAUGACAUGCUCUGAGAUCUUAGCUACUGGGAAACCCGCUAUUCUGAUACCAUCACCAAAUCUAGAGGAAGGACAUCAACUGAGAAAUGCUUCUCUGAUGGCGGACGUAGCAGGUUCAAGGGUUAUAACUGAAGAUGAGCUAGAUUCUACUACGUUGGGAACCACAAUUGACGAGAUUAUAGGUAAGUUAAAUGUGUGGCUUAUUUUGAUGCUGCACUAACAGCCUGUUUAUGAAGGAGAGAGAGAGGGGAAAGAAAGGGGGUGGAGGAUUGCAUUUUGCCUUAUUUGGGAGAGCUGGAGAAUAUGGGGAAAAGAAUUUUUGAACAUUGAAAAAAAACCUGUGCCCACAAAAGUUAUUCUCCCCAUUUUGGGGAGAAAUGGGAGAGAAAGUGAACAUUUAAAUGAAUAUUUUACUUGCAAUGAGUUCUUUGCGCUUGAAUAUGAGAGUUCCCUCUCAUACAUGGUUCUUCAGAAAUUUUUUUAACUGGAUGAAAAAUAUAAUUUUUUUAACUGGAUGAAAAAUAUAAUUUUUUUAUUCAGAUAUAAAUACAGAUAUAUUAACAAGAGAUGAAAAUUGGGAUAUUUUGACCAUUGGUAAAUGAUAAAGUUAGCUUGCGCAGAAUUUUAUUUUGAAUAUAAAUAAAUCAAAAUCAGUAAAUUGUGAAGUAACUUGAAUAGGCUACAAUUGUAAAAGUGUGCAAAGUUCAUUAUUUUUUUAGACCAUGAGCCCAAUAACAUUAGUAAUCUGUAUGCAUGAGAUGUGAUGUGCUAAUAAUUUUUGCAAACAUAUGAGAUGUCAAUGAAUCCAAAGGUAUAUAUACAUGUUAUGUAAUGAUAUGGUAUUGGUAUCUUUUAACUUCCUAAAACACUGGAAUGGUUCUUUCUGUUAGUUUACCUGCAGUAGUUGAGCCGUGUAACAAGGAGCUCCAUAGCUAUUCUAGAACGACUGUCAUAUUUGUUAGCAUUCAAUUGAGUGCAGAUUGCCGAAAUUUCUGAUUGGCUUGACAGCAUCAGUUGGUGCAGACGUGUUUUCUGGAAAUUUAUGUAAUUGGGUCUUCACACUGUCAAUUUCAAUUUGUAGCUUUCAUUUCCUUAGUUUUUUUUAAUAAAUUUUUGCAUUCCAUUAUAAGGCUAGAUAUAGUGUAGUAAAUUUACUCUUUAAUUAUUUCAUUUUUGCGUCUGAAAAAUAAUCAUAUGGUUACUAUAGCAGGAGAUGAGGCUGUAAUGGCAGACAUGUCAGAAAGGGCUCUGAAAGCUGCAAAGCCUGAUGCCUCUGCAGAAAUCGCACGGCACAUUCUUUCCCUGGUCGAGGCAUCAACUAAGAAGAAGUAGCAAUAAUCCUACUGUAAAGCUUUAUGGUACAAGAAUCUUCUCUAUUUUGGCUGUGGCAUUUUUCACCGGAAUCAAAUUUCUGACAAAGGCUAAGAAUGCAUAAUCCUCAAAGCAAUUGUUAUGGUUAGAAUCAUGGUAUAAUUUCAUUUCUAUAGUUUUAGAGUGGAUGCUUUUAUAGGCCGUGAUCUCAUUUAGGGUAGUUAUAGGGAUAUGUUAUGCUUCUUUUCUUUGUGCAAUGAAGUGGCUCAUUGGUGCUUGUGAUCAUUUGAUAUGCAUGUUAAAGAUUUUAAUUUGCUGAAGUGCUUCAUUUUUCUACAACGUUCUUAAAAUGUGAUUGUGUUGAGCAAGUUAAAUGAUAAGUUGGUCCU